AGAGUUUGAUCCUGGCUCAGGAUGAACGCUGGCGGCGUGCUUAACACAUGCAAGUCGAACGAAGCACCUUGAUUUGAUUCUUCGGAUGAAGAUCCUGGUGACUGAGUGGCGGACGGGUGAGUAACGCGUGGGUAACCUGCCUCAUACAGGGGGAUAACAGUUAGAAAUGACUGCUAAUACCGCAUAAGACCACAGCACCGCAUGGUGCAGGGGUAAAAACUCCGGUGGUAUGAGAUGGACCCGCGUCUGAUUAGGUAGUUGGUGGGGUAACGGCCUACCAAGCCGACGAUCAGUAGCCGACCUGAGAGGGUGACCGGCCACAUUGGGACUGAGACACGGCCCAAACUCCUACGGGAGGCAGCAGUGGGGAAUAUUGCACAAUGGGGGAAACCCUGAUGCAGCGACGCCGCGUGAGCGAUGAAGUAUUUCGGUAUGUAAAGCUCUAUCAGCAGGGAAGAAAAUGACGGUACCUGACUAAGAAGCACCGGCUAAAUACGUGCCAGCAGCCGCGGUAAUACGUAUGGUGCAAGCGUUAUCCGGAUUUACUGGGUGUAAAGGGAGCGUAGACGGAGUGGCAAGUCUGAUGUGAAAACCCGGGGCUCAACCCCGGGACUGCAUUGGAAACUGUCAAUCUGGAGUACCGGAGAGGUAAGCGGAAUUCCUAGUGUAGCGGUGAAAUGCGUAGAUAUUAGGAGGAACACCAGUGGCGAAGGCGGCUUACUGGACGGUAACUGACGUUGGGGCUCGAAAGCGUGGGGAGCAAACAGGAUUAGAUACCCUGGUAGUCCACGCCGUAAACGAUGA
rnacentral:rRNA from 1 species